rnacentral:lncRNA from 1 species
AUUCCGAUCCGCUGCCCCUGAGAGGUGGGCCUUGGGAGAGGCAGGGCUUGGACGCCCUUCCUCGGGGCAGCGGGGUGCAGGGAGAGUUCUUCUGGCUGUGAGUCCCGGAGUCCCCGACCCUGGCACCCCUUCAGCAAGGUUCUCAGGCACAUCUGCCGGGGGCGCUGAGGGGACCUGAGAUGGACGGGCCGGGAGGGAGGCUGAGGUAAGACCUGAGGCUGAGGUAAGACCUCAGCCUGAGGUAAGACACAGUGCUGGGGCCUCCCUUGAAGCCCGUUUGAAGUGAGGUCCCCACAGCUGUCAGAGGACACGCAGGGUGGGGGCUCCUGGGUGGGAAACAGGUAAACCUCUUGGGCGCCUGGGGCUGGAGGCCUGAGUGGUCCUGAAAAGAACAUUCAGGCCAGGCGCAGUGGCUCACACCUGUAAUCCCAGCACUUUCGGGGGCUGAGGCGGGUGGAUCACAAGGUCAAGAGAUCGAGACCAUCCUGGCCAACAUGGUGAAACCCCGUCUCUACUAAAGACACAAAAGCUAGCUGCAUGUGGUGGCGCACGCCUGUAGUCCCAGCUCCUCUUAGGGAGGCUGAGGCAGGAGAAUCACUUGGACCCAGGAGGCGGAGGUUGCAGUGAGCUGAGAUUGCGCCACUGCACUCCAGCCUGGCGACACAGCGAGACUCUGUCUCAAAAAUAAAUAAAUAAAUAAAUAAAAAGAAAAGAAAAGAACAUUUAGUGAAAGGAGCAAGGAAGAGAAGGCAUUCUGGGCAGACCCCGGCCCCCAGGGCACAGGCGUGCAGUGUUUCCCUUCCAGGGUUUGGUGGACACUUGGAGGGACCAGGUCGGGGUGUGGCCUGGGAGGGGUGGCCAAGGUCCAGGGGUCAGGGUCACUUCGGGGAAGUCCAAGGGGCAGCGCGGAGCCACCGCUGUGGACAUGGGAGGAGCCUACUAGCCAGCAUGGCCCAAAGGAAGGAGGGGCUGAGGGUCAGAGGUCAUGGGAGAGAAGAGGGAGUGGGGCAGACCCUCUCCCAAGGCCAUGGGGUGGGGGAGAAACAGCGCCUUAGGGCCUGUCCUGAUCCUCCUCCAGAGCCUGCUCAGAGUGGGAGCAGCCCCUCCUCCCUUCCCCUCCACCACCCAGGCGCAGGUGCGGCCUCUCCCUGGCCCGGGGACCUGCGUGAGGUCAGCCCUCAAAGCGCUGUCCCUUCUGGCUCACCUGGGCCCAGGGUGAGGCCCGACCCCACGGUGGACCCUGAGUCACUGCAGCUUCUGUGCCCAGCUCAGGAACAGAGCAGCCUUCAAGGCCAGGACUGGGGAGGGGCUCGGCUUUUCCGGCCCUUGGACGCCACUCAACUCUUCCUGCCCGUGUGUUGGCAAAGAACUAGCACGGCCUCUGAAGCACUGAAAAGACAAGGGCUACCUCUUUUCCAGAAGGUCCCAGAGCCCACCAUGAGCAGGCAGUGUUUGGGAAAAGCCCGGGGAGGUGGCAGGGGCUCCGAGGAGCGGGGGAUUCUAAGGGGUUAUAGCUGCGCUGAGCCCCGGGCUCCUCAGAAGCCUCAGAAGGAGAAGGGGGCUCCUUUGGGGGCAUCCUCCCUGCAUCCGGGGUGUUGCAGGGUGACCUCCCGUAGUGCCAGCAGGGGCGGCCCCUCGGUCUGGCCAGAGAAGCCCAGCCACUGUCCCGUAUGGUGGAUGUCAGGCCCAGUGCCGUGUUUCCGAAGGAGGGAAGGGGUGAGAGGCAGCAGCCAGACACCCCGCUGAGCCCGCCCCGACCCUGAGCACGUGGGAGCUGGAGACGGUGUCACACACUCGGCCUGGCUUUGGGACCAUCCCUAGGGCUUCUGUGGGGAGGAGGAAGGAGGAGCAGACGUGGAAGGGCUGCCAGGGCCCCAGCAGAUGGGGUCGGGGGCGGAGGAGAGCCAGGAAAGUGUGGGCGCCUGGGGGAGUCACAGAUGGAGGUCUGGUACCUAGAGCCUGGAGAACGACGGCUCUCGGGACAGAGGGCCUCAGACUCUGGCACACCAGCCGUACCUAUGACAAGCUCCAUGGGGGAAGAACCAGGCACCUGGAUGCAUGGCUGUGAGGCCCCCACCCCACAGGGGCCUCAGAGGCACAGGCUCCAGGCUCCAGCGGGGAGGGCGCUGCAUCCCACCCUGGGAGCAUGGCUAUGAGGCCCCCACCCCACAGGGGACCCAGAGGCACAGGCUCCAGGCUCCAGCGGGAAGGGCCCUGCUCCCCACCCCCAUCCCCCGCCUCAGGCUUCACUGAGAUGGGCCCCGGGGACCCCGGGAGCUUUCUGUGACUGCUCGGCAAUGGGUUCCCCAAGGCCUGGCACAGGCUUUCCUUAGAGCCAGGCUGUGGACCCAAAGCCUUGGGCCAAGUCUCAGGACCAGAUGGGCGGCUCUGGAGAGGACCCCACAGUCCAGGGUGAGGCGCGCCCCGCUGGGGGCAGCGCUGCCUGUGGAGAGGACCCCACAGUCCAGGGUGAGGCGCGCCCCGCUGGGGGCAGCACUGCCCGUGGCCGUCUCCAUCCAUCUCACCCUGACGCAAGGCCGGCUUCCUCUGCGUCCAGUGGUCGGGGCCUUGGAGAGGCCAGCAGGGCCCGUGGGGGUCGCGUUUCUUCCCUGUGGCAUCAGCUCUUUUCCCAGCAGGCCUCUUUGCAGCUGGAUGCAGCAGCCAAGCCCUGGAGUCUUUGGAAAACUGUGGCCUGGCGGGGGCCCAGGCAAUGCCACCUUACAGGGGACACCCACACAGGCGGUCCCGAGGAGGGGUGUGCUGCCGCCCUGAGCUCAGCCAGGCAUCACCGUGGUGUCACCGUCAGCUCGGGUGGCACCUCCCGGGCUGCCCUCUCGGCUGCCACUUCUCAUGAAACUGACAGGGACUGAACACGAAUGAUGUGGCUUAUAGCUGGGUGCCCCCACCCUGACCACAGGUGCCACGCGACGGGAGCCACAUUCUCUUCCUGAUUCUAACUCCACGGGUACAGAGACAGAAGCUGCCAUCUUUAGAAAUAAAACUUUUUUCUAACUACAAAAUAAUACAGUUUAAUAUAGGAAAUGUGGAAAAUGGGGUAUUCGGGGUGGAUAUUGAGAAGAGAGAAGCAACACCAAUUCUAUGUGCGAGACGCUGGCACUUCCCAGCGUAGCCUUGUGUUCCUGACCCUGGGGUGGCCUGAGCGUGGCCUGUGGGGCCCGUGUCCAGGUGCGGAGGGGGCCCUGAGUCGUGCGGGGCAAGUGGUCAGGGCCCCAGGCCCAGGCUGCCUGGAGCGAGAUGACUGGGCCUGGCCCCUGGGGACUUGCUCUGACAAAACCCCCCGGUCCCCACUCCUGAGCCCCUGCAGGAGCAGCCCUGGGAACAUGGGGAGCAGCUCCUUCUGCCUAUGUGCUCCGGACUCAGGAACUCUGGAGAGAAGAAACACAACCCCACAGGCCCCGCCUGCCUCUCCUGCAGUCUUGAGGCCCCAGGGAAAGCCCCCACUGCAGGCAGGGGGACGUGGCUGGCCUGGUCUGCCCCCAGCUGAGCCUCACCUGAGGGAGAGCUGGGGUGGGCCGCCUCGUUUACGACCGUGUAGUCGUCUUUUGCACACAAAGCCAUGUGAGUCCGUACGUGAGUCCUGUGGAAAGACAAGACAUGGAAUAGGAGUGACGUCCGUCCCCAGGCAUGAAGUGGAGAGCAUCACGCUGUGUGAGUUAAACACUGGCCAAGCACGGUGUGAGUCGGAGCCGGGGACCUGGCCAGAUGAGGGCUGCGUGCAGCUUUCACACCCCAGGCACGUGAGCACCGCCAAGCCCAGCCUCAGCCAGCAGCUGCUCUGCAAUGUGGAGUCACCAGUGGCCCCAAGGAUGGCAGGUGGGGGUGGCCUUGGGACUGAAUUAGGCCGACACCCAAGGCCUCUGUUCCUUCCCGUCCCUUCUCUCCCUUCGGAGGAUCAAAUGAGAGUUUCUAGGAAAGAAAACAUGGCCAGGCCCUCCUCCAGCGCCCAGGCAGGGCUCGAGCGGACGCCCGUGUGACCCCCACAUCCCUUCUACCCCUGUAGCUCUCUGACUCUGAUAUCCCAGUGGGAGGAACGAGGAGGGGACGGGUGAGGAGGAGGAAGAGGAGGAGACAUGAGGGUUAGGAGGAGCACAUCCUGAGUUUGUGAGGCUUCACUGACCUCUGGCCUCACAAACACACACAGGCCUGAGCUCCGGAUAUUUCUCCUGUUCUGGAGACAGUGAGAAGUGAAAGAGAAAUGGCUGCCCCUGCACCACUUACCGCGAAGGAGGCUCAAGGCUGGGGGGCCCCUCUGCCUUCCAGUGACCGCCCGUGUCACAUCCUGACCCGCUCAGCAGGAGAGACGGCCAGAGGCAUGGAUGCACGCUGACUCGUGGACGGCCGCUGUUUGACGAGACCAUCAAGGAGGGAGGAGCACCCGUGGAAAGGCGUGGCAGGGUGGUCGGGGCAGAGGUGUACAUCAGCCUAUCCAAUGCUCACGGCUGGAGGACGCCGCGCCCUGUGAAUGCUCACUGAGGACCAUCCCGGGCACUGGGGCUCUCCAUGUGAGAAUGGACAAUAUGCUGCCUUCCCAGCUGCCCCAUCCUUCCUGCGAGAGCUUGGGGAUGGGUGGCCACAGUGGCACUGGGGAGAACACGAGGGCUCCCCAGCAAGCGUUUUCUCUCAUGGAGGUGGCUCUGGUCACAGCGUCACUGCAGGGCGCAGCCACGGUGGCGGCCAAUGGAAACUGGGCUCUUCUUUUUCUUUUUUUUUUUGAGACAGAGUCUCGCUCUGUCACCCAGGCUGGAGUACAAUGGCAGGAUCUCGGCUCACUGCAACAUCCACCUCCCGGGUUCAAGUGAUUCUCCUGCCUCAGCCUCCUGAGUAGCUGGGAUUACAGGUGCCAGCCACCACGCCCGGCUAAUUUUUGUAUUUUUAGUAGAGACAGGGUUUCACCAUGUUGGUCAGGCUGUCUCGAACUCCUGACCUCGUGAUCUGCCCGCCUUGGCCUUCUCAAAGUGCUGGGAUUACAGACAUGAGCCACCGCGCCCGGCCAAAACUGGGCUUUUCUACGGUGGGGAGAGCAGAGCUAUUCUCUCUGGGGUGGGUGCUUGUCUGGGACUUGUCACCAUCCCUUACUCCAGGGCUGUCUUCAGCACUGUCGCCCACAGUCUUUCCGAACGCCUUAUUCAGAUGUUAUAAUUUCCCACACGAUGUUCCUGACCAAGAAACGCAUUUUACAGCAAAGGGGUGAGGAACGGAUCUGUGGCCAUAGGAUCCCAGAGCCGUGUCCCCGCCACUCAGGAGCAGGCGACCUGAGCAGAAGGGCUUGGCGCUGGUGGGCAGUGGGAGCCCUGCCAUGGGCGGCCCGAGGGGUGGUGGGAUCCCCGCCGUGGGCAACCCCGGGGGCGGUGGGAGCCACGCUGUGGGUGGGCUGGAGGCCCUACUGGGUGUGCUACCGGAAGGGAGGUCCUGACUGUGAGUCCAUGUUCCUGGCAUGUUGAACAAAGAAUUGAGCAAAACUCACAAAACGACAAAUAACAGAGUAAUGAAAGCGCAGAUCCUUUGCAGUGAACAUGCACUCCACAAGGGGGGACGGGACUCCAGCAAGUGCUCCGGAGCCCCCAUUAGGGUUUGUAUUGGGCUAAAAGAAUUUGGUAACACCCCCAGGUGCCCUUUCCAGGUCUCUGAUUGGCUGCAUCCUAUGAAGACUGGCCUGCGGCCAAUCAGAGGCUGAGGUGGAGACUCCUGUCUUGUUUUCCCAGGAAGGAGGCUGCGGCCUGUGUGCCGCCCAAUCCAGCCAGGAACCGGUGGCACCUGCUGCCCUCCGGCUUCUGCCUUAGCCCUCGGUGACCCCAUUCCCUGUUCUCCUGCCUCAGGUGCAGGGCGAUGGUUCUCAGUCAACGCUGGGGCCAGAGCCGGGGCUGGGGCCGCUCGUUCUGCACAGGUCCCGGGAGUGGCGGUGAGCAAUGCUCUCGCUCUCAGCGACCCACGUGCAAAGCGCUCCCUGCGCCCCCGACCCCGCAGCUUUGGGCUCUGCUGACUUCAAGGCUUCAUUCUUCCUCCAGGAGAACACAGCAGGUCCCUCCGACCGCAGUCGGCCUCUCCAGCCUGCCAUGCCUCUGGCCAUGAGGCGACCCGCUGGAGUGAUGGAUUCCCGUCACUACCACCCACAGGGCGAGGGGGUGCAUUGGUCUGCUUGGGCCGCUGUAACAAAAUGCCACAGCCUGGAUGAGUGACUGACAUUGCUUCCCCACCGUUCUGGAGGCUGGAGGCCCGAGAUCGAGGUCCCUGACACUAUUUCAGUGAUGCCAGAGCCCAGGAGGAGUCGACCAAGCCCCAGCGUGGCCAUAAGCACCUUCGCAGGACCACGGAGUCGCUGCAGGUGUUCAGCCCUGUUGAGAGUGGGAGUCGGUGUCGAUGGUCACAGCUCAGUAACUCAUCGUCACCAGCGAGUACCACAGAGCAGACACAACUGCACUUCUCUGUAGAGCCUCCAGUCGAUACUGAGAGCCACUGGGGCGUCUGACACCCAAGGGUGCAGACAUUCACUCCAAGUCCAGAGACCGCGCCCUUUCUAAGGCCCUGUCUCACAGUCGCCCCGUGCUCAUUGUGCCGGAUGUUUCCACAGCCACAGAGACGGUGAGGUGCAGCCUAGUGCAUAUGACUGACAGAAACGUGAAGCCACAGUGGACGCCUGGAUGAGACACAGAUCACCUUCCAAAUCUGAGUGUGGCCUUGGGACCAACCAGGCAGCCAGGGAGAAGGCAGAGACCAGAGGGAACCCAGGUGCCCUCAAUCCCAGCCUCCUCUAUCCCAGCCUCCCAAUCCCAGCCUCCCCAAUCCCAGCCUCCUAAUCCCAGCCUCCUCCAUCCCAGGACCCCCACUCCCAGCCUCCCGAUCCCAGCUUCUCUGAUCCCAGCCUCCCCUAAAACCCAGACUCUAUGAAUCCCAGCCUCUGAGGUGGGAACUGUUAGUAACCCCACUCCAUGGACAAGAAAGCUGGGGCCUGGCGAGGCUAACAGACUAUCCUGAUGGUGUGAGGGAGGGAUCGGCCUCUGAGGGCUGCUUCCACCCAUCUCACCAGUGGCUGCAGGCUCCAGGCGCCACUUUCCUUGAGUCUAUGUUCUUUCCAAGCAUCCUGCAGCUCCAGAAGCUCUGGAGCCGCCAGCACUGAGAGAAGCGAUGGAGCUGCAUGCAGGGAAACUUUGUUGACAGCGGUGUCUGGAUGGACCAGCAGAGGGCACUCUCACCCACGGGGAAAAUCGUGCGCCCGGCCUCGUCCACCGCCAGAAGACGCCGCUACACAAUGGAGUCUCGCUCUGUCGACCAGGCUGGAGUGCAAUGGUGCGAUCUCGGCUCACUGCAAUCUCUGCCUCCCGGUGAGAGGUGAAGCCAGCUGGACUUCCUGGGUCUAGUGGGGACUUGGAGAACUUUUCUGUCUAGCUAAAGAUUUGUAAAUGCACCAAUCAGUGCUGUGUCUAGCUAAAGUUUGUAAACGUACCAAUCAGCACUCUGUAAAAAUGGGCCAAUCAGCACUCUGUAAAAUGGACCAAUCAGCACUCUGUAAAAUGGACCAGUCAGCAGGAUGUGGGCGGGGUCAAAUAAAGGAAUAAAAAGCUGGUAGCCGAGCCGGCAGUGGCAAACCGUUUGGGUCCUUCUCGGUACCCUGGUGGCUUUGUUGUUUUGCUCUUUGCAAUAGAUCUUGUUGCCGCUUGCUCUUUGGGGCCUCACUGCCUUUAUGAGCUAUAACACUCCCCGCAGAGGUCUGCAGCUUCAUUCUUGAAGCCAGCGAGACCACGAACCCACUGGGAGGAACCAACAACUCCAAACGCGCCACCUGUAAGAGCUGUAACACUCCCUGUGAAGGUCUGUGGCUUCACUCCUGAAGUCAGCGAGACCAGGAACCCACCGGAAGGAACUCCGGACACAAAGAACUGCAACACUCACCCGAGGGUCUGUGGCUUCAUUCUUGAAGUCAGUGAGAUUAAGAACCCACCGGAAGGAACCAGUUCCGGACGUGCCGAGUUCAAGCAAUUGUCCUGCCUCAGUCUCCGGAGUAACUGGGAUUACAGGUGCACGCUGCCAUGCCCAGCUAAUUUGUAUUUUAGUAGAGUCGAGGUUUCACCGCGUUGCCCAGGCUGGUCUCGAAUUCCUGAGCUUGGGCAACCCACUCACCUCGGCCUCCCAAAGUGCUAGGAUUACAGGCGUGAGCCACCAGGCCGGGCCCGUAUGGUGGUUUCUACUCCGGACUGACUCUCCCGGGUCUUGGUCACUCUGCAGAAUCCUGGACCGGAAGGGGGCCUCGGCCAGGGGAGGGCUUGCGAGGAGCCCCGGACCUACUGGCCAUUAUAGGGUGACGGGAAGUUCCUUGCAUCCCGGGAUCCCAUGGCACUUGGUCAGGGAAGCCUCCCCAGAGAGGCCCAACUCCCCAGAUCCAGGUGGGGAAUCAGGGUACCAGCCAGGCAGUGUUCCCACCCCAGCCAUGCUGCUGGCUUCCGUCCCUGUGGUGGGGUCACCCAGGUGGCUCAUGCCUCCACGCACAGCCUUGUGGACACCCCCACACCGCCCAUAGUCAAGUCAGAGCUCACGAGCCCACAGGGCAGAUACCCGCCACGAGGGGACGGUGGGCCAGGAGGGUCCUCUGUGGGCAGCGCCGUGUUCCUGAUCUCCCCAGGCUGCUGGGGGAUGGGGUGGGGCAGAGGAGGCCACCUUCCCAUUUCCCACUUUGCUGGGUCUCCCUCUUUGCUGGACAGUGCUGGGGCAGGUUACACACCCAUGACAGUGUGAGGACUGAGGGUGCGCGUCCUGGAGCCUUCAGGGCUUGGGUGGAGGGGGCAGCUUGUCCCCCUGAGGCCUGGGCCAGAGAUCCCAUUCUGAAUGCGGAGAGCCAAGAUUCUACCUGGAUCCUGGCCUUGUGGGUCACUGUGACGGCCCAGAGCUGACUUUAUGUGACAGUUUGUCCUGAGAUUUAAAACUGAAUAUUUAGACUCGUGGGAUCUGGGCAUCCACUUCAACCAAGGAUGGGGACAGGCAGCAGGGUGGAGGGUGGACGAUGCAGGAAGAUGCUGUAGGACCAAGAACAAGGGGGCUGUGAGGCAAAGGAGCAGCACGAGGAGCCGUGUGUGCCCACUGCCACUUGCAGCCUCAUUUCUCAACCCGACUGUGAUGACUGCCGCUUGCUGGAAAGAUGCUCUGAAGACACAAUGAACUGACAAUGCGUCACCCCGACUCCUGCCUGAGCCACUCCAUUCCUUAAAGACGGUACGUGACUCACGUCCUUGCUGUGUCCUGCACGAGAUAAGGUCUGGCAGGGUUGGUAAUUAUGCCUCUGGGAUCUGUAACCAGACAUUCUCUGUAACCAUUCUGUAUAAUCUGGACGUUCUCUGUAAUCCAGAUGUUCUGUGUAAACUGAAGUUCUCUGUAAUUGGACUUUCUCUAUAACCAGUUGUCCUCUGUAACCUUCUCUAUAAUCCAGAUGUUCUUUGCAACCAGAUAUUCUCUCUAACCAGACAUUCUGUAUAAUCCAGACAUUCUCUGUAACCAGAUGUUUUCUAUAAUCCAGAUUUUUUUUUUUUUUUGAGACAGUUGCACUCUUUUUGCCCAGGCUGGAGUGCAAUGGUGAGAUCUUGGCUCCCUGCAACCUCCACCUCCCAGGUUCAAGCGAUUCUCCUGCUUCAACCUCCCUAGUAGCUGAGAUUACAGGCAUGCACCACCAUGCUUAGCUAAUUUUGUAUUUUUAGUAGAGACGGGGUUUCUUCAUGUUGGUCAGACUGCUCUCAAACUCCUGACCUCAGGUGAUCCGCCCACCUCGGCCUCCCAAAGUGCUGGGAUGACAGACGUGAGCCACCGCACCCGGCCCUGGAUGUUCUUUUUAAUCCAGAUAUUCUCUGUAAUCCAGACGUUCUCUACAACCAGACAUUCUCUGUAAUCGGACAUUCAGUACAAUCCAGGCUUUCUCCGUAACCAGACGUUCUCUAUAAUCCAGACGUUCUCUGUAACCCACACGCAGCUCCGUGUGACUCUGCUCUUCCGUGACUUCUGCGUCUAUAAUCCAGACGUUCUCUGUAACCCACGUGCAGCUCCGUGUGACCCUGCUCUUCCGUGACUUCUGCGUCUAUAAUCCAGACGUUCUCUGUAACCCAC